rnacentral:misc_RNA from 1 species
UUGAGUAGGUUAUUGCCAGGGUUUUUAUUUUUAUACUUUAAACUUUGAUUUUAUUUUUAUGUUUUUUAAAUAUUGGUGUUUUUGAAUGUGUUGUUUAAAUAACAUAAAAAAUAAAAUAUAUAUUGACAUGUAUUAAACAAAGAUAUAUAUUAUUUUAUGUUGUAUAAAUAAAUUGGCAAAAUAGAGAUGGAAGAUAAAAAUAAAAACCCUGGCAAUAACCUACU